rnacentral:rRNA from 1 species
AUGGAAGGAGUUGAGGGCCUGAUGAGGGGCUUAAAGUUGUCUGAGGCGGAGAAGAGGGGACUGAAGAUCGGGAAGGCGGAGAAGGGGAAGGCAGUCGACUGAGCGCCAGAUGAACCUCAGGCGAUGGGUAAACUUUUUUCGGAGAAACCUGCGCAUGCUAGUAUGAUUGGGCAAACCUUGGGAAGGAUUUGGUGUCCCAUAAAGGGUGUGGAUUGCAAGGAGGUGGAGUCAAAUGUUUUCCUCUUUACCUUUCGCCAACCGUCGGGCUGGAGGCGAGCACUGGAGGAUGGACCGUGGUGGUUUGAUAAGGAGCUAUUAGUCAUGGAGGAAUUCGACCUAGAGAAGACGGUAGAUGAGUAUGACUUCAACCUGAUCCCAAUAUGGCUUCGCAUCUUUGGGCUACCACUCGGGCACAUGAAUAGAACCACAGGCGAGAGAAUCGGCGUAGGAUUUCAUGAAUUAGUCGAUGUGGAUGUAGGGCAUGAUGGGAGAGCGGUGGGGAAGUAUCUCAGGGUGAAAGUGAAACUGGAUAUUACUGACCCAAUUUUGAGGGGCUUUGUACUGGAGCGGGAGAAGAAAGCAGACGGCAAUAUGCUAGUGGAGGGAGUGGAUGGAGAGGAUAGCAAUAAGAAGAAGAAGAAGAAAGAAUUGAUCUGGUGCAGAUUUGAGUAUGAGCAUAUGCCAGAUUUUGUUACACCUGCGGGAUAA